GAUGAACGCUGGCGGCGUGCUUAACACAUGCAAGUCGAACGGAAAGGCCCAAGCUUGCUUGGGUACUCGAGUGGCGAACGGGUGAGUAACACGUGGGUGAUCUGCCCUGCACUUCGGGAUAAGCCUGGGAAACUGGGUCUAAUAUCGGAUAGGACCACAUUUUGGAUGGUGUGGUGGAAAGUUUUUCGGUGUGGGAUGAGCUGGCGGCCUAUCAGCUUGUUGGUGGGGUAAUGGCUUACCAAGGCGUCGACGGGUAGCCGGCCUGUGAGGGUGUACGGCCACAUUGAGACUGAGAUGCGGCCCAGGCUCCUACGGGAGGCCACAGUGGGGAAUAUUGCACAAUCGGCGCAAGCCUGAUGCAGCGACGCCGCGUGUGGGAUGACUGCCUUCGGGUUGUAAACUCCUUGCGCUAGGGACGAAGCGUUAUGUGACGGUACCUAGAGAAGAAGCACCGGCUAACUACGUG
rnacentral:rRNA from 1 species